rnacentral:rRNA from 1 species
AGCGAACGCUGGCGGCAUGCCUAACACAUGCAAGUCGAACGAGACCUUCGGGUCUAGUGGCGCACGGGUGCGUAACGCGUGGGAACCUGCCCUUAGGUUCGGAAUAACUCCCCGAAAGGGGUGCUAAUACCGGAUAAUGUCUUCGGACCAAAGAUUUAUCGCCUUUGGAUGGGCCCGCGUUGGAUUAGCUAGUUGGUAGGGUAAAAGCCUACCAAGGCGACGAUCCAUAGCUGGUCUGAGAGGAUGAUCAGCCACACUGGGACUGAGACACGGCCCAGACUCCUACGGGAGGCAGCAGUGGGGAAUAUUGGACAAUGGGCGAAAGCCUGAUCCAGCAAUGCCGCGUGAGUGAUGAAGGCCUUAGGGUUGUAAAGCCCUUUUACCCGGGAUGAUAAUGACAGUACCGGGAGAAUAAGCUCCGGCUAACUCCGUG